GAUGAACGCUGGCGGCGUGCCUAAUACAUGCAAGUCGAGCGAACAGAUGAGGAGCUUGCUCCUCUGACGUUAGCGGCGGACGGGUGAGUAACACGUGGAUAACCUACCUAUAAGACUGGGAUAACUUCGGGAAACCGGAGCUAAUACCGGAUAAUAUAUUGAACCGCAUGGUUCAAUAGUGAAAGACGGUUUUGCUGUCACUUAUAGAUGGAUCCGCGCUGCAUUAGCUAGUUGGUAAGGUAACGGCUUACCAAGGCAACGAUGCGUAGCCGACCUGAGAGGGGGAUCGGCCACACUGGAACUGGAACACGGGCCAGACUCCUACGGGAGGCAGCAGUAGGGAAUCUUCCGCAAUGGGCGAAAGCCUGACGGAGCAACGCCGCGUGAGUGAAGAAGGUCUUCGGAUCGGAAAACUCUGUUAUUAGGGAAGAAAAAAUGGGUAAGUAACCAUUGACGUCUUGACGGUACCUAAACAAAAAGCCCCGGCUAACUACGUG
rnacentral:rRNA from 1 species